rnacentral:rRNA from 1 species
UGGGGAAUCUUGCGCAAUGGCCGAAAGGCUGACGCAGCGACGCCGCGUGAGGGAUGAAGGUCUUCGGAUCGUAAACCUCUGUUGCCCGGGACGAAUCGUGCCUUUAGAGGCACUUGACGGUACCGGGUGAGGAAGCACCGGCUAACUCUGUGCCAGCAGCCGCGGUAAUACAGAGGGUGCGAGCGUUGUCCGGAAUCACUGGGCGUAAAGGGCGCGUAGGCGGUUUGCUAAGCGUGUGGUGAAAGCUCGGGGCUCAACCCCGCGUCGGCCAUGCGAACUGGUGGACUGGAGCCGAUCAGAGGCAGGCGGAAUUCCGGGUGUAGCGGUGGAAUGCGUAGAGAUCCGGAAGAACACCGGUGGCGAAGGCGGCCUGCUGGGAUCGUGCUGACGCUGAGGCGCGACAGCGUGGGGAGCAAACAG